UACGUAGGAGGCAAGCGUUGUCCGGAAUCACUGGGCGUAAAGCGCGUGUAGGUGGAAGAGGAAGUCUGCUGUGAAAGCGCCUGGCUUAACCGGGCGAGGUCGGUAGAAACUCCUCAUCUAGAGGUCGGUAGAGGGGGGUGGAAUUCCGGGUGUAGUGGUGAAAUGCGUAGAGAUCCGGAGGAACACCUGUGGCGAAGGCGGCCCCCUGGGCCGCACCUGACGCUGAGGCGCGAAAGCUAGGGGAGCAAACAGG
rnacentral:rRNA from 1 species